UGGGAUAACCCCGGGAAACCGGGGCUAAUACCGGAUAUGACCUUGCACCGCAUGGUGUUUGGUGGAAAGUUUUUCGGCUUGGGAUGGGCUCGCGGCCUAUCAGCUUGUUGGUGGGGUGAUGGCCUACCAAGGCGACGACGGGUAGCCGGCCUGAGAGGGCGACCGGCCACACUGGGACUGAGACACGGCCCAGACUCCUACGGGAGGCAGCAGUGGGGAAUAUUGCACAAUGGGCGGAAGCCUGAUGCAGCGACGCCGCGUGAGGGAUGACGGCCUUCGGGUUGUAAACCUCUUUCAGCAGGGACGAAGCGUAAGUGACGGUACCUGCAGAAGAAGCGCCGGCCAACUACGUGCCAGCAGCCGCGGUAAGACGUAGGGCGCGAGCGUUGUCCGGAUUUAUUGGGCGUAAAGAGCUCGUAGGCGGCUUGUCGCGUCGACCGUGAAAACCUGGGGCUCAACCCCAGGCCUGCGGUCGAUACGGGCAGGCUAGAGUUCGGUAGGGGAGACUGGAAUUCCUGGUGUAGCGGUGAAAUGCGCAGAUAUCAGGAGGAACACCGGUGGCGAAGGCGGG
rnacentral:rRNA from 1 species